rnacentral:rRNA from 1 species
CCUACGGGAGGCAGCAGUGGGGAAUAUUGGUCAAUGGGCGCAAGCCUGACCCAGCAACGCCGCGUGAAGGAAGAAUGCUUUCGGGUUGUAAACUUCUUUUUUCAGGGACGUAGCAAGUGACGGUACCUGACGAAUAAGCCACGGCUAACUACGUGCCAGCAGCCGCGGCAAUACGUAGGUGGCAAGCGUUAUCCGGAUUUAUUGGGUGUAAAGGGCGUGUAGGCGGGAAUGCAAGUCAGAUGUGAAAACUAUGGGCUCAACCCAAAGACUGCAUUUGAAACUGUAUUUCUUGAGUGCAGGAGAGGCAAUCGGAAUUCGGGGUGUAGCGGUGAAAUGCGUAGAUAUACGGAGGAACACCGGUGGCGAAGGCGGAUUGCUGGACUGUAACUGACGCUGAGGCGCGAAAGCGUGGGGAGCAAACAGGAUUAGAUACCCGAGUAGUC